GAUGAACGCUGGCGGCGUGCCUAAUACAUGCAAGUCGAGCGAACAGACGAGGAGCUUACUCCUCUGACGUUAGCGGCGGACUGGUGAGUAACACGUGGAUAACCUACCUAUAAGACUGGGAUAACUUCGGGAAACCGGAGCUAAUACCGGAUAACAUGUUGAACCGCAUGGUUCAACAGUGAAAGACGGUCUUGCUGUCACUUAUAGAUGGAUCCGCGUCGCAUUAGCUAGUUGGUAAGGUAACGGCUUACCAAGGCAACGAUGCGUAGCCGACCUGAGAGGGUGAUCGGCCACACUGGAACUGAGACACGGUCCAGACUCCUACGGGAGGCAGCAGUAGGGAAUCUUCCGCAAUGGGCGAAAGCCUGACGGAGCAACGCCGCGUGAGUGAAGAAGGUCUUCGGAUCGUAAAACUCUGUUAUUAGGGAAGAACAAAUGUGUAAGUAACUAUGCACGUCUUGACGGUACCUAAUCAGAAAGCCACGGCUAACUACGUG
rnacentral:rRNA from 1 species